CCGGAACACGGUUUUUAUUCUCUGUUUAGUCACGCCGCUUCAAAAAUGUUCAGCAGGGUUACUUCCGGUUUCUCGUUGUUUACCAACACUUCGCAUAUUAAAUGUAUUUGUUUGGGAUGUAUGGGGGUACGUAUUUGUUUGUCAACGUUUGAUAAGCUACCAUUGGUCAAGACGACGAUGCUGCAGUGUAACUUGCAGAUCUAUGUAGAAGGCCUGUCUAGGAACCCUAGGCCCUAUUAGUACAGUAGUAGCCAUAGUGGGACAUGAAAAGAACGCAUUAGACUCGGUGAAACCUACCAAAUAGGUGAUGUAAUGGUGUACAUAUAUGACCUGCUUUGGUCUGAAUGGUUUGCUAUUAAACUAUGGACAGGGCAGUGGUAUCAUCUGUGAAUGACUGCCCAUGCUGAUUAUGUCAAAGCUAUGGAAUAUUUCUACAUAAAUGAUCAUCAUACUCAUCAAAGACACAACUGAAUGCGAUAUAUGCGACCAAAAAUGACCAAGAUAAAAGAAAAAAUGUUAUAUGGGUGAGAAUAAUUUAAUCAUAUCUACUAAGUUAUAAAUGAUAUCCUCCCUAAUUUAAACAUUGAUAUUUGAAAAUUAUUAUUUAUCAACUAAUACUUGCGCCACAAGUCUUUCAUUUAUAAGUGACUCAUUUAAUAAGAAGAAUUUUUAGUAUGAAAGUAACUCUAGUAGAUACAUGCAUUUCAAUGAGUUUUCAUAAUUCCAAUGUCAUGAGUAGUUGUGAUCAUUAUUCAAACUGUUAUCAUUGAACAAAAUAUAUCUGUUCAUGAUUAAGGUAUAUUCCUGUUAGUGACAUCAUUUCCAUUCUGUGCACAUAGAUGUAGCAGUACAGAGAAAAUCCAUUAUAUGCAUCAAAAGUUUGGGAAAAGUUAAUUGACUUGUAUAUAUUAACAAAAUUGAAAAAAAUAUUAAUGCUGUUUAAUGCCAUAUAUUGCAGAGAGAAAAAAAGAGUAUCUAAGACCAUUUGUGUUCAUUCAAAUAUUAUGUUGGUAGAUCUUGUUUGAGUCUGCUUUAUACAUGACACAUGCUUAGUGCCCAGGUGGGCUCUUGUGAUGAAAUAUGCACAUUUUCGGAUUCAUGUCAGAACAUCGAAUGCACGCAAACUCCCAUGAGUACAAUGUAUUAGGGAAAUUAGAUACAUGUAAAAAUAAAUAUAGUAAACUUUAUUGAUAAAAGUUAUGAAAAUUCAUAGAUUCAGUUUUAAUAUGAAUGACUACAUCUGAUGUAUUCCUGAAUAAGUUCAAGAAAUAUAUAUGCAGUAAACGAUAUUUUUCUAACAAAUACUGUACAUUAAUUAUCAUUUUUGUAUUUUUACAACUUUGCUUCUUGAAUUGACAAUAAUUUAUCGUCAAUGUUGUGGUAUCCUUCCUCUUUUUUACAGGGAUAUAGGAAGUGGAUCAUCCAUUUUCUUUGCCUUUCCCUCGAGGUCUUCAGACAGUGUCUCUAUACAUCAUUAACCAUGUCGAUUAGCUCUCAUGAUGUCAUGCCAUUACUGCCAGAUUACCUAUAAUACUGCCAGACUAUCUAUAAUAAUACCAAAAUAUCAGAAUUAAAAUUUCAAAUACACAAGAUUUGAAAAAGUAAAAGAAAAGAAUUGCAGGUGUAUAAUUACACAAAAGGAUAUUGAUUCUUACCAGGCUGAAAUGAAUUAAUAGUUGAACUUUCCUUCAGCUGUUUUACUGCAUACCAGUCAAUAAUUCCAGUCAACAUACGGAGUACAGUCAUUGUUAUCAACCUGUGUAUAUAUGUUGAAUAGAUUAUGAAGAAAGAAAA